rnacentral:rRNA from 1 species
GAUGAACGCUAGCUACAGGCUUAACACAUGCAAGUCGCGGGGCAGCAUGGGGGUUGCUUGCAAUCCCCGAUGGCGACCGGCGCACGGGUGAGUAACGCGUAUCCAACCUGCCCUUCACCACGGGAUAACCCGGCGAAAGUCGGACUAAUACCGUAUGUUGUCCAUUGACGGCAUCCGAUUUGGACGAAAGGUUUGGCGGUGAAGGAUGGGGAUGCGUCCGAUUAGCUGGACGGCGGGGUGACGGCCCACCGUGGCGACGAUCGGUAGGGGUUCUGAGAGGAAGGUCCCCCGCACUGGAACUGAGACACGGUCCAGACUCCUACGGGAGGCAGCAGUGAGGAAUAUUGGUCAAUGGGCGUAAGCCUGAACCAGCCAAGUAGCGUGCAGGAUGACGGCCCUAUGGGUUGUAAACUGCUUUUAUGCGGGGAUAAAGUGGCCCACGUGUGGGUUUUUGCAGGUACCGCAUGAAUAAGGACCGGCUAAUUCCGU